rnacentral:lncRNA from 12 species
CCUGUCUGAAGUAAGUUUAUUAACUGAUUAAAUGUGUGUUUCUCUCCCAUUUGAAUCCUAGUCUCUGAUAUCUGAAGAGAAAGGAGCACCUGAGAGCUCCUUAAUUUGAUGGAUGCAUAUUAGUGACCUUCGGAGACCAGUCAUCGUGCAGCUAUGACCCAGCUGGGAGGCACCACUUCUGUCUGGGGAGUAGUUCCCCUGCUUCAGCUCCCUCUCUUCCUGAUGAGCACCAGUGCUGGCAAAGGAGGCAAAGAUGCCCGCUGUUCACAGCAGGUUUUCCCUGUGAUCUGGCCACUCUCAGCGCCUAUGCUCCUGCAGGAUCUGGAGGAAGCUUGAGAAUCCACGUGGACACCUCACUCCUUAAGCUGAAAGCCGGUUGGUGGUCUCCCUGAGACAAUCAUCAUCAGGAAGAAAUGUGGCUUGGCUGGAGUCCCACGUUUCGUUCCAGCACAUCCUUUUUACCAAAAGAGCCGUCCCUGGAGCUGCCAACAGUGUUUAUGAGAGAGCCAUCCAACACUUCUUUGGGUCUGGGAGCGUGGCCUGACCAAAGACUGGCCUUCCCCACCCAGCAAACAUCCAUCAGCAAACCUGGCGCUUGGUGCUGUGGACACCAAGGAUUUACUAAGAGCAAGCCCACUCACGGAACUGGUAAACUCUGA